GAUGAAGGAACGCAGCAAAAUGCGAUAAGUAAUGUGAAUUGCAGAAUUCAGUGAAUCAUCGAAUCUUUGAACGCACAUUGCGCCCGCUGGUAUUCCGGCGGGCAUGCCUGUUCGAGCGUCAUUUCAACCCUCAAGCCCCCGGGUUUGGUGUUGGGGAUCGGCUCUGCCCUUCUGGGCGGUGCCGCCCCCGAAAUACAUUGGCGGUCUCGCUGCAGCCUCCAUUGCGUAGUAGCUAACACCUCGCAACUGGAACGCGGCGCGGCCAUGCCGUAAAACCCCAACUUCUGAAUGUUGACCUCGGAUCAGGUAGGAAUACCCGCUGAACUUAAGCAUAUCAAUAAGCGGAGGA
rnacentral:misc_RNA from 1 species